UGCCGAUGAGGAAGAAUUCCCGAAGAAUAGGAAGUGCCGUAUGACACUCCAAACAGCAGCGGUUGU